rnacentral:rRNA from 1 species
CACUCCUACGGGAGGCAGCAGUGGGGAAUAUUGGACAAUGGGCGCAAGCCUGAUCCAGCCAUGCCGCGUGAGUGAUGAAGGCCCUAGGGUUGUAAAGCUCUUUCACCGGUGAAGAUAAUGACGGUAACCGGAGAAGAAGCCCCGGCUAACUUCGUGCCAGCAGCCGCGGUAAUACGAAGGGGGCUAGCGUUGUUCGGAUUUACUGGGCGUAAAGCGCACGUAGGCGGACUAUUAAGUCAGGGGUGAAAUCCCGGGGCUCAACCCCGGAACUGCCUUUGAUACUGGUAGUCUUGAGUUCGAGAGAGGUGAGUGGAAUUCCGGGUGUAGAGGUGAAAUUCGUAGAUAUUCGGAGGAACACCAGUGGCGAAGGCGGCUCACUGGCUCGAUACUGACGCUGAGGUGCGAAAGCGUGGGGAGCAAACAGGAUUAGAAACCCGUGUAGUCC